UCAGAGAGUCCUCUCUCUCGGCAUGGACACAAAAGAAAAGCCAUGUGAGGACACAGAGAGAAGGUGGCUGUCUACGAGCUAGGAAGAAAGGCCUCACCGGAAACCAACCCUCACAGCAGCUCCAUCUUGGACUUCCAGCCUCCGGAACUGUGAGAAAAUAAAUGUUUGCAAUUCAGGUCGGUUGUAUUUUGUGAAGGCCAUCCUAGCAAAUGAAUACUCCUAACAUUGUCUCUUUAAGAGCUCACCAGCCUGAGGUAGGAAUCAUUCCAUCUGUGUUACUAAUGAGACCGCUGAGGAUCAAAGGGGUUUUCCACCACAUCCACUCACCUCUACAUGGCGAAAACCAAGGGUUCACUCUCUGUCUUCAGGGAGCUCCACCCAGCAGCAGCGUUUGACAGAGCUGUUCACUUCCUCUUCCUGGAGCUGUGGCUUCCAGAGCCCAUGCUCAGCAGUUCCCCUCCUUCUUCGACUGCUCCUCUCUUAGGCUCAAAACCUGUAACAAUGCAUGGCACACGGAAGAUGUGAGAAUUUGCUGAAUAACUGAAUGGCACCAUGUUGCCUCACCUAAGGAUAAUGACUAAGAAUAGGAAAAAUUUACUGUGCAAAGAUCAGUUCUUAAUAGCUGUCUACAUCUCAGAACAAAAAAAAUUAGAUGUAAACCAUUGCACAAAGGAUUAGAUGAAAUUUUUUUGAAAAAUCAGACAUUGGAGGCUCAGAGCCACUCAGACAUUGGGAAGCAAGUUUGUCAAGAUGACAGAGAACCGAGGUAAUGGAUUCGAGUGAUGAAACAGGAAGUUCAUUCAUGAGUUUUUGGCCACACCUCCAAAGUGACGACUUAGCCAGAAAUGGGAUAACUGGGUUUCCCUACUUCUCUUUUAUCAUCCUCAAUGAGAGUGACCAAAUAUUAGAGCUAGAUGGAACCUUAGUGAAAAUCUGGCUACUCGUCCCGUCCCACCAGCCUGCCACCCAUUUCAAGUUUGAAGAGACAAAGACACAUGGACCUUAUGUAAUUACUGGGGAUUACCCCAGGAGUCUGUGGCAAAAGUCAGCUUCUUCCCUCCCUGCUUCCCCGCCCUGUCUCUGGUACUUUCUACCAACACUGGGCUGUUUCUGUGAUCACACUUAAGCGUACCUAACCUGCGAAUGCUGUAUAGAAGGUGCUAAUGAACAUGAUUUAGCUUUAACACUCAGUUUUCUAAAGGGACACGUGGGGGCAGCAAAUGUUUAG
rnacentral:lncRNA from 1 species